rnacentral:tRNA from 1 species
GUAAGUAUGGUUUAACCAAAAUAUUAGAUUGUGAUUCUAAAGACAGAGGUUAAAAUCCUCUUACUCACC